rnacentral:rRNA from 1 species
GUAGGUGGCAAGCGUUGUCCGGAAUUAUUGGGCGUAAAGCGCGCGCAGGCGGUUCUUUAAGUCUGAUGUGAAAGCCCACGGCUCAACCGUGGAGGGUCAUUGGAAACUGGAGAACUUGAGUACAGAAGAGGAAAGCGGAAUUCCACGUGUAGCGGUGAAAUGCGUAGAGAUGUGGAGGAACACCAGUGGCGAAGGCGGCUUUCUGGUCUGUAACUGACGCUGAGGCGCGAAAGCGUGGGGAGCAAACAGGGAUUAGAUACCCUGGUAGUCCACGCCGUAAACGAUGAGUGCUAAGUGUUAGGGGGGUUUCCGCCCCCUUAGUGCUGCAGCUAACGCAUUAAGCACUCCGCCUGGGGAGUACGGCCGCAAGGCUG